ACUUGAAUUGAAGAGUUUGAUCAUGGCUCAGAUUGAACGCUGGCGGCAGGCUUAACACAUGCAAGUCGAACGGUAGCAGGAGAAAAGCUUGCUUUCUUGCUGACGAGUGGCGGACGGGUGAGUAAUGCUUGGGAAUCUGGCUUAUGGAGGGGGAUAACGACGGGAAACUGUCGCUAAUACCGCGUAUUAUCGGAAGAUGAAAGUGCGGGACUGAGAGGCCGCAUGCCAUAGGAUGAGCCCAAGUGGGAUUAGGUAGUUGGUGGGGUAAAUGCCUACCAAGCCUGCGAUCUCUAGCUGGUCUGAGAGGAUGACCAGCCACACUGGAACUGAGACACGGUCCAGACUCCUACGGGAGGCAGCAGUGGGGAAUAUUGCGCAAUGGGGGGAACCCUGACGCAGCCAUGCCGCGUGAAUGAAGAAGGCCUUCGGGUUGUAAAGUUCUUUCGGUAUUGAGGAAGGUUGAUGUGUUAAUAGCACAUCAAAUUGACGUUAAAUACAGAAGAAGCACCGGCUAACUCCGUGCCAGCAGCCGCGGUAAUACGGAGGGUGCGAGCGUUAAUCGGAAUAACUGGGCGUAAAGGGCACGCAGGCGGUUAUUUAAGUGAGGUGUGAAAGCCCUGGGCUUAACCUAGGAAUUGCAUUUCAGACUGGGUAACUAGAGUACUUUAGGGAGGGGUAGAAUUCCACGUGUAGCGGUGAAAUGCGUAGAGAUGUGGAGGAAUACCGAAGGCGAAGGCAGCCCCUUGGGAAUGUACUGACGCUCAUGUGCGAAAGCGUGGGGAGCAAACAGGAUUAGAUACCCUGGUAGUCCACGCUGUAAACGCUGUCGAUUUGGGGGUUGGGGUUUAACUCUGGCGCCCGUAGCUAACGUGAUAAAUCGACCGCCUGGGGAGUACG
rnacentral:rRNA from 1 species